UUUGGUUGGCAGUGCAGACACGCCUAGUAACCCAGAUUCCAUCCAAAUCCCUAAUGCUGCCUUUUAAUCAAACUUUGCUGAGGAAGAUGAUGGAAUUUACAUAUGUACUAGAGAGAAAGCCAUUGAAGGUCCAAAGAUGAGAAGAAGAUGAUUGAAAGGAAUUGCAGGGACAAAGCCAAAGUUCAAGGAAAAUGGAAGGUUCAAGAGAGACAAGAGCAGCAAGCAACAGCAGCAGCAGCAAUGCCUCCGCUUCCUCCUCCUCCUCUGGAGGGCCAAACUGCAAGGGGAACCUCUCACCGGCUAGUUUUUUCUGCUUCUGGUUUGAACCUAUAAUGGCUAAUUCAUUCCUCUCCUUCAAUUUAGGAAUUGGUGGGUUGAAAGUCUGCCACUUGUUUGUGAAUUGGAAGCAAAUUAACUGCUAACAUGGCAAUUUGUUUGUUUAAUAUCACAAACUCAGAUUUAUUUUUCA